AAAGGUGAUGAUUUGUGCUUUAUUACUGAGAAUAUUUCUGCUUCAUUUUUCCCUAUGAAGGGGAAAAACCUGACAGAAUCAUUAGUUCAAAUUGAAUAUCUCUGGCAAACUUAGCACUGAUGCUAGUAAUGGUAACACCGAGGUCUACAUGAAUGGUCGAGAGAUUACAAAACUCGAAUUGAGGGUACUCAGGGUAAGGCUUACAAAAUUAUUGCCACCAUUCUAAUCUUCGGAUGAUCCUUAUCAUUAUCGUGGCUCUUUUGCAUGUCUCUUUUGCAUUAUUAAUACUCACUAUUGGGUUUACGAUGAGGGUCGUUAUGAGGAGGAAGGUCAAAAGAAUAUAAGAGGAAACAUUUUGGAGAAGUCAUCAACAAGAUUUGUUUGUGCCCUGUUCUUUCUACCUUUUCCUCAUGGACAGCCACAUGAUUCAAGAGACGAGACUAGUAAUUAUACCACAAUUCCUAAAUAUGUGGAACAGAAAAGAAACUCAGAAGCUUCUUGUUCUUGGAAUUCAAGGAUCUGGAACUAGCAUUCUGUUUAAGCAGACGGAACAAGGUUUAUUAGCUAUUGACGAUGCUGAGGAAUUUUAACAAUUUGAAACAUUGAGGUUUAAGUGGUUUUGGCGAUUAUUGCAAAAAUAUUGAUCAUUGUAGAGGAGAUAGUUGGAGGGGUUUGGUGAAUAAUAUGCUUCCUCCUGGUGCUUCUGUUCCUGAUGAAGCUUCUAAUUCUGAUUACUCCGUAUCUUUGGA